rnacentral:lncRNA from 1 species
UUCUUUCCUAGGCAGAUAGGUGGCAAUCCUGCAGGCCACACGUUCGCCACAAUGAUUGUUUCCCUUCUCCGAAUGCCAACAACACAUGUAACCCCACGUUACAAUUUAGAGCCUGAUAAUAUGCUGUCAUGUCUCGUCUCAUGUGCUCAUCUCGUGCCUCCAACUAGAGUCUGAACUUUUCAAAUAGAGGGCCCAGGAAAGCUUAGGAUUCUCUUUCAUUCUUCCCAAAGCUAAACUCCCAGCAGCACUCAAUCAAUACUUGUUGACUGGCUGAUCAGGCUAGAUUAGGCCUGUGAACAUGACCACCCCCAAGGCCCCGACCAAUACACCAGAAAAGGGCUCACUUGAUCCCAGUGCUUUCCCUGCAUACACUGGUCCUCUGGGUUUCGGCUACUCUCUCCUUCCUUUGAUCCACACUUGUAAACAUGAAUUUACUCAUCUUACUCCAGCUUCUGGAAAGGGUCCCCAAGCAUCAAAGGGACAUCCAACCUCACAAACACCAGCAAUGACCUCACCCUCGGAAUGGAGGACACUAAGUGGGGCUUGUUAGGGGCUGAAAACAGUGCAAGGUCAUCUCUGAACUUUGGGGAUCAGUUAUGAGGUUUCCAUUUCUAUGUGGCCCCGUGUGAGGCUGAGAAUGGAGACAGAAAUCAGCUGUCUUCAUCUCAUAGGUAGGAAGGCACUGUCAAACCCACCCUCUCCCAGGGAAUCAAAGACCAGAGACUUUAAUAGCUCCCCACGGUGACUAACUGUGGAUUUUGGCUAAGGAAAAAGCAGAAUGCCAUCCUCACCAGAUACGGCAGCAGAUGAAGAGAAAGGAGCAAAGGAGCGCCAUCACGGGCCUCAGGAGACAAGCAAAUGAGAAAAGUAAGGGUGAGUUGGCCAAGAUCGCCCAGCCAGCAAGCGGCAGAGGAAUAAACUGACCCCAGGACUUCCAAAUGCUACGGCCUGUGCUCUGGGGUGUCUGCAGCAGGAGUGGCAGCUGAGCAUCGGGACUGACAGUGGGGACCUGGGAGUCACCAACACUCACCUUUACUGGCUGUGUGACCCAGGGUGAGUUAAUUAUCCUCAUCUCGUCUCAGUUUCUUCAUCCAUAAAACAGUGCUAAUAACAACUGUGACACACGGUUACCGUGAGGAUUAAAGGAGAGAAGGUAUAUGCAAAGCACUCAGCUCACUGGCCAACACACAGUCAACACUCACGAAAUGGCAGUUGUUUUUAUUACACUCCACUGCCCAGGCAGGGACAUCUGUGUCUUCUGAACUCUCUACUUGCCUGUAUAGUGGCCACGAGAUACAAAACUCUGUAUGCAGCAGGUGCUUAACACAGGUUGGGGAAGAACAACUUCCUUCUAUCCAGCUACCCCACCUCCCAAACAGCCGUGGCCGAGAUUCACAGCCACAGGCGACGAGAAUAAGCCCAGUGCCAGAGGCAGGGUGGGACUGCUACACCGGGUCACAAUGGCCAGGGGGGCUGGGACCAGGUGGCAUCUGUGAAUCUGCCCUUGAUGAACACGUUCCGGGCCCAAGGAGGCCACGGCCACAGGCCACCCACAAGAUGGCCGCCAGCGGGGCGUGGGCAGCCCGGCACACUCGGGCCUCCCCGGUGGCGGCCGCGUUUCCUCCACUUUCUGCCUCACACCUCCCUCCCCUGGGGCUCCAGAUCUCUGCUCCCAGGGCUGGGGAACAUGUCUGUCCUUGGUGAGAAGAGCAAAUAAAAGCGCAUGGCCUACUUCCAGCAACCUCGCUGUUUCUCACUUGAAGAUUAAAAUAAUAAACACACAGACAUAGAGGCUGGAGAGUGAGGGGGAAACGAAGCAGCAUCGGAGCCGCGGCACGAGGCCUCACGCAGCCCAGGGCUGCGGUAACCUGGCAACCUGCGAAAGGAAGAAGGCAGGAAGGGGACCUGUGUACAAGCAACAGCCAACUGUCACAGCCUGAGACGAUGGGAAAUGCAAGUCCACAGCAAAUCCACUCAGCACCUACAUUUACUCGAGGCCACCUGGUGGGGGAACUUAACCCCAGAUCUCUUGGGAGCUCAGUGACUCCAGCAUCCUGCCUCUGCCACGAGCUGGGAGGAAGAUCUCUGCGGUGUGUUGAAUGCUCUUUUCUUUCUGUUCCUGUGUGGCUGUGAGCCUCUGCAUGGCCAGGAGACGCCACCUGCCCCUGCCAGCCAGGCUGCCUCUGCACCUGUGCCAGAAAUCCUACCCAGGGAGUCCCUGUGCCCCAUGCAGGCCACAGGGGAGCCUCCAUCGUGCGGCAGCCCCACUCAGGUUGCAGCUCAGCCUCUGACCAAGCAUAAGGGACUUUCCUCCUCCUCUUCUCCUGGCAAUUCUGGGGGGCUCUUCCUGAAACUGGCUGGAAUGUAAGCUCCAUAAGGACAGAGAUUUCUGUCUGCUUUGUAAACUGCUGAAUCCUCUGGGCCCAGAAUGGUGCUUGGAAUAUAGUAGGUACUCAAUAAAUAUUUGUGGAAGGCUUGCAUUGUCAUGCCCACCUGACAGAUAAGAAAAGUUAUCCAAGGUUAUAUAGCUAGUAUACGGUAGAACCAAGAUUCACAUCCAGGACUUUCCAGGUACAAUCUCAUAUCAUGCAAUCAUUUGAGUAGUAUUUACUGAGUACCUGACAUGGGCACGACGCUCGGGAGGACAAAGAUGAUCCUCACAAUUAAAACUUUAUUUGGGGCCUAUAAAGUGCUGGGGAGUACAAAGACAUGGCCUUUCUUUAAAAGCUGUUUGUGUAUACACAUACAUAUAUAUACAUAUAUACGUAGAUGCAAGUAUACAUACAUAUAUGUAAAUACAUAUACAAAUAUGUUGUUUCUAUACAAACGUAAAUAUUGUGUGCAUGCAAAUAUCUCAUACACACAAAUUCUUUCAA